CCUAAAAAUAGAUCCGUGCGAACCGAAAAACUGAUUUACGAGCACAACCGACUGCAACCUUCCACCACGCCGGAUCCCCAAUGCUAACUGUUCAAAACGUGGUCGGACUGAGCUCUGUGGCCGCUUGAACAGCCCCGUUACUCAAAAACAAGAGCAAGAUGCGCAGUCAGCAGGUGAAGCGAUGAUACUCUGACUUCUGUUCCCAUGAAGGCAGCACGGAGCUGCGCCACUAGAAGCUGAAGAGAAGAAGAGUUACAAUACACAACGUCUCGCUCCAGUUGCAGUGGAGUAAACUGGCGGCAACUGUUACAUAUGCUCAAACAACGGUUCCAAAUACCAGCCAAACAGGCUGUGCAGGUCCUCCAGUUCUGUGUUGUGCUGGUCAAAAUAACAGCUGUUUCAGGGGAGGAUGUUUUUGUGAUGAGGUCUGUGUGUCAGUUCGGGAUUGCUGUCCUG